rnacentral:tRNA from 2 species
CGUCCACAUAGCUUAACACUAAA